CCGUCUACCCUAGGCUACACUGUCCAUCUUCCAAUGCAACCAACGUCAUAGAGGCCUUUUAUGCACCGUUUAGGAUUCAGGGAAGAUUUGAUAGUGCAGACAGAGACUGUGACUUGCCCAAGCCUCAUAACAGGAGAGAGAUUGAUGGAACCAGAGCCAUUAUUUCCUGCCUUCUAUGAACAGUUGUUGGAUCAGGAGCUGUAGAAUGUCUUCAGUGUAAGAAUCCUGUCUGGAGGGACCGUCCAUAGAAGCUCUCCUGCUCUCCCAACUCCAAGGCAAUUCACCAAGUGACUUCCCACCUGUUUGCCUGUAAUGGUUCCAAGGGGCGAGAGUUACGUGCUACGGUCUAUGGCUCUGAGCUGCUGGUGGGAGACACUGGUAUGCUAUACUACCCAGCUCCUGUCAGAAAGUCAGCUUCACUAUGUGGAGUUCAUCCUCUCCCUCAACCAAUGCCCAAGAAGGAGACUGGACACACAAUACCAUUAAAGGUCAUCAGAGGAAUGGAACACAUAGCGUCAUUAAAAAAACAUCAGAGGGCCGGCGGUGGUGGCGCACACCUUUAAUCCCAGCACUUGGGAGGCAGAGACAGGCAGAUUUCUGAGUUCGAGGCCAGCCUGGUCUAUAAAGUGAGUUCCAGGACAGCCAAGACUGUACAGAGAAACCCUGUCUCGAAAAACCAAAAAAAAAAAAAAAAAAAAACAAAACAAAACAAAAAAAAAAAACAAAAACAAAAAAACAAAAAAACGAAAACAAAACAAAACAAAACAAAAAACCCAAAACCAUCAGAGGAACUUCGCUCUGGAUGCUUUGGAGGACUUUGGCAAAGGAAGCCAUUACUGGGGACAUGGAGCCAUGAUCAGAGUGUGGGGUCCUGGAUUCUUCUUGAUGGACACUUAAACUAUGGACCUCAGAGCACACUGUCAGAGAUAGUAAGCUGAAUUUUAUAUCUAAGACAUUUAGUUUGAACGGUGCUUGAAUACUCUUUAAGUCGCUAACACAUUUGAAGAGGGAUAUAUGACAUUAAAAGUGGGGCAUGGCUGGCUGGCCACGCUAGCAGAGCAUUUUGUUCGCAUCAGCUGGAUGCUGGAGCUCGGAGUCGGGCAUAUAUGUAUUCUCAUUGGCUCCAGUCCCAGCCACUCCCUAUUGGCUUGCAUGUGGCCUGCUUUGUUUGCUUGUUUUACCCCUGGGAUCUGCUAUCAUCUGAACUGUGUCUUAAUACUCUUUGACAGAGCUUCCUAGAAGAUUCUCACACACAAUCACCAGAAUGCCAUGGUGCUUCCCCGCAGUUCUGCUCCAGACAUGGAGAUUCCUGAGUAUCUCAGAGAUUCAGGAUUUGCAUCUUAAAUGAGUGGCCUGGAGAUGCCAAUGCUUUUAUGGUGCUGUUUAAGUACCAUCACCUGUAUCCAGUUGUGGUGUCUCUCACCUCUAAAUGUGAGCUCUCAGAACUUUAAGGCAGGAGGACCACAAGGACUCAAGUCUACUGGAUGAUGCCAUCUACUUCAAACACAUACACAGGCAAUGUCUCAGACGUGAUCUUUGAAAAGUUCUCCUGACCACCAUAGACAGCCACCAUGUUCAGCGUUCCUAUUCUGACUCUUUUUUGGCGAUAUUCAUGAUGCCUUGAAAUUCUAACCUUCUGAGUGGUGGGACCACUGGAAUCCUUUAGGCUAGCCUGGACUACAGGACAUCAAAGAGGAUAUGAUCAGAAUGUAGCCUAAGACUAAACCUGCCAACACCUUGAUUUUAGGGUCAGUCAGAACAAGAUCAAAUUCAGAAAGACAGAUGGAUAGAUAAAGGGUUUGCUG
rnacentral:lncRNA from 1 species